AUGGGCGGUGGCGGCGCAGCCGGGGAUGGCGAUGGGUGGGCGGAUCAGGACCAGGGCAACGGCGGGAGCCGCGGCGGGGGUGAGGCCAAGCGGUCGGAGAUCUAUACCUACGAGGCCGGGUGGCACAUCUACGGUAUGAACUGGAGCGUGCGGCGGGACAAGAAGUACCGACUCGCCAUCGCAAGUCUUCUCGAGCAGCUCGUCAAUCGCGUGGAGGUGGUCCAGCUCGACGAGUCCACAGGUGACAUCGCCCCCGUGCUCUCCUUCGACCACCCUUUCCCUCCCACCAAGUCCAUGUUCGUUCCGGACCCCCAAGGCCUCCGCCCCGAUCUGCUUGCCACCUCUGCAGACCUCCUUCGCAUAUGGCGCAUCACGGACGACGACGCCGCUGCCCCGGGCGCCGCCGACUCCAACAAUGGUUCCGUCCGCUGCAACGGCGUGGGGGGCCCCGCUGGUCAGCAGCCGGGCGUCAAGCUGUGCUGCGAGCUCAACGGCAACCGCAACAGCGACUUCUGCGGCCCGCUCACCUCCUUUGACUGGAACGACGCCGACCCACGCCGCAUCGGAACAUCAUCCAUCGAUACCACUUGCACCAUCUGGGACGUUGAACGUGAGGUAGUCGACACCCAGCUCAUAGCCCAUGACAAGGAGGUCUAUGACAUAGCCUGGGGUGGCGCUGGUGUCUUUGCAUCUGUUUCUGCGGAUGGCUCGGUCCGCGUGUUUGAUCUUCGGGAUAAGGAGCAUUCCACAAUCAUCUAUGAGAGUAGUUCUGGCGGCGGCUCCAAUUCUGCUGCUACGGAUGGUGGGGCUGUGUCGCCGACACCAUUGGUUAGGCUGGGGUGGAACAAGCAGGACCCAAGGUAUAUGGCAACAAUCAUCAUGGAUAGCCCCAAGGUGGUCGUGCUUGACAUUCGCUACCCAACACUGCCUGUCGUUGAACUCCACCGCCAUCAUGCUCCUGUCAAUGCAAUGGCAUGGGCGCCUCACUCUUCUUGCCACAUUUGCACAGCUGGGGAUGACUCGCAAGCACUAAUAUGGGACCUCUCCUCCAUGGGCACGGGGAACAAUAGCGGAGGCAAUGGGAAUGGCAAUGCUGCAGCAGCUGCAGCAGCAGAGGGUGGUCUUGACCCUAUAUUGGCUUACACUGCAGGGGCGGAGGUGGAGCAGCUGCAGUGGUCAGCUACCCAGCCUGACUGGGUUGCCAUUGUGUUCGCCAAUAAACUGCAGAUUCUCAGGGUCUGA
rnacentral:rRNA from 1 species